CGACGCGCGUGGGUGAUGAAGCUCUUCGGAGUGUAAAGCCCUUUCGGCAGGGAAGAGUAAAGACGGUACCUGCAAAAGAAAGCCCCGGCCUAACUACGUGC
rnacentral:rRNA from 1 species